GGCCAGAUGCCCGAGCGGUUAAGGGGACAGACUAGAAUACGCACUCUCUGCGAGUUGCCUUGCUUCAUCUGUUAGGCUUUGCCUGCGCAGGUUCAAAUCCUGCUCUGGUCG